rnacentral:rRNA from 2 species
GAAACUAGCCAGUCCCAUGGGUAUGAAACCCAUUUGAGCGAGAGUAGUACUAGGAUGGGUGACCUCCUGGGAAGUCCUCGUGAAAGGGUUUCA